rnacentral:lncRNA from 1 species
GGACAGAGGAGAAGGAUGAAUGAUGCAUGGAAGACCAGGGUGUCAGCGGGGAAGAAAUUCUGAGACUAUGAAGAAGGAUUUGCAAGAAAAUGAGACAGGGGCCUGUUCCUCUCUGGGAGUCAGAGGAAGGAAGGAGUGUGGACAAAAGGACAGUGUUGACAGCUGGGUCAGGCAAGAAGAAGUGGAAACGGAGGAGAGGGGUCCAGCCAGCAUCCAGCUCUCCAAAUGGCAGUUGGAGUGGAAAUCAACUGUUGCCAAAACAGGAAGAAUGAGGGUGACUGUAGACCAAGGUGGUCGUGGGUGAUGUUCAGACCACAUGGGAGGACUGUGGCCUCCGGGGCUGCACCAGGGAGUCUGCAGGGCUGGCUGCCGUGACAUGACUCCUUCUCGGCCACAAAGUCUACACUCUAGACCUUGCUGGAGGAGAGAAAGUGGGAACCUUAAAUCUCCCCACCUGCUCUAGACCUCUAGUUCCAGCCCCCAGGAUCUACGAGGUCCUGAACCCCCUUGAACUCUUCUUGUCCUGACCCCCAAAUCCCCUGGUGCCUCUGACGCCCUCAGCUUCGAAGGUCCCUCAGAACAUCUGGAGCUUCCUCAGGUUCUCUGGGGUCCCUUGAGUCCUCCAGGAUCCUCCACAAUUCUUCGCUGGUCUCCCUUCCCGAUCACAUCCGAGCAGUCCUGGAACCUGACUCUCGGAUCCCCGGUGACCCUCUCCAUGGUCUCUCCAGACUCCCAGGAUCCCGUGUUCUCCUCGCCAUCCCUCUCUGCCCGCUCCAGGUGCUGGCAGCUCUAACCCCGGCACCAUCUGGACACACGGCUGCGACACAGGGGCUCCAGCUGCUGCAGGAUUCCUCCUGUGGCUGCCCCAGACAGCUCUCUCCUUUGCCACGUUGCAAUUCACUUUAACAGCAAAUUCAGCCUGAGGAACUUCUGGCAGCACAUACACUCCCCAAGGACCCACAGCAGGAGAAAGAAGAAGGAGAAAGUGGGGAUGGCAACCUGAUCUGACCCAGCACGCUCUUCACGUGGCCCCAAGCCUGCCCAGACUUCCCCGCGCCUGGGACGCCCUUUCCACCCACGACUUCUUAUCAAGGCCCAGCCCAGAUGCCCCCAAACUGUGCUCUCCUCUGUGCCUCCUCCUCUCUGUCACCUCAGCCAGAGGGGAGCUCUCUCCCCAAGGCCCUGGAGGAUGUACGUCACUCUGGGUACCACCGCCUUGAAUUGCAGAGACUCCUCCAGGGUCCUACCUGCCUUAGGACACCAGCUUCUUAGCUUCUUGAGGGGAGAGGACAGGCUUUGACGUUGGGUGUAUGGACUGAAUUGUAUCCCCUCAAAAUUCAUACACUGAAAACCUAACCUCCAAUGUGACUAUAUUUGGAGAUAGGGCCUUGAAAGAAGUAAUUAAAGUUAAAUGAGGUCAUACAGGUGAGGCCCUAAUCGAUAGGACUGGUGUCCCUAUAAGAAGAGGGACCACCAGAGAUUUCCCCCUUCCCCACAUGAGCACAGAGGAAAGGCCAUGUGAGGACACAGCGAGAAGGCUGCCAUCUGCCAUUCAGGAAGAGAAGCCUCACCAGAAACCAACUCUGCUGGCACCUUUAUCUUGGAAUUCCAGCUUCCAGAACUGUGAGAAAAUACAUUUCUGUUGUUUACGCCACCCAGUCAGUCUGUGGUAUUUUGUUACGGCAGCUCAACAGACCAAUACAUUUGGGAACUCAGAGAGAGAGUUCUGGGAGGGGAACACCAACACACAGGCCAUUUCUCACAUAUUUUAUUUUUAUUUUUAUUUUUAUUUUUAUUUUUAUUGCUAGGGAAGAUUUGCCCUGAGCUAACAUCUGUUGCCAAUCUUCUUCUACUCUCUAUGUGAGCCGCCAUCACAGCAUGGCCACUGAUAGCCAAGUGGUGUAGGUCCACACCUGGAACUGAACCCAGGCCACCAAAGCAAAGUGCACUGAACUUAACCACUUGGCCACUGGGGCUGGCCCCCACACACACAUUCUUGAGCCCCUUCUGUUAGCCCAGCAGCAAGCAGGGCUGAGCGGGGACCAGACCCCAGCCUCCACAAGCCAAGCAAGAGGGAAGAGCUGAGGUCUGACCCGCUGCUGCUGCCCCAGCCAUGAGGAGACACGGGGCCAGGCGCUGGCUGGAAAAAAGGGAACAAAUACCUAAGCUCCUGCCACAUCUCAGAAAGCCCCCUGCUGGGCUCAGCACCGUUUGCUGACGGAAUCCCUCAACUGCCCUUCCAAAGAGGGAUUCUUCCCCCAUAUUCCAGACAAAGCAACUUGGAGAGAUCCAGGAACUUGCCCCAGUUGACCUAAGCCGAAGGGUGGAGGGGGAUGAAGAUACAAACCAGGGCAAGGGACAGUCACAGCCUCCAAGAGGCUCAGGCUCUUCCAAGAGACAUCUCUCCGAUGGAACGGCAGGAGAUUCCUGGCAGUCCCGUAACCUGGUCUGCGUCUGCACAGAGCGGUUGUGCAAGGAGUCAGCUGUACGUGGGUCUGAGAGGACCCUCCGCCUGCCAGGGCUGCUGGCGUGGGCCCAGGCUCCACACAAGAAGAGUGAGUGAUCCCAUUGUAAAGAAUGAAGGCUCCAGACAGCAAAGGCCGUGCGCAUCUCUGCGGCUGCAUCCUCAGACCCUAGGCUGCCUGACUCAUCAAGGGAGGGCUCGACUCUGUUGAAUGGGCCGUCCGGAUGGACCUCCAGUUCUGAUUAAUACUCUAUUGCUAUGAAACAUAAAGUGAUGAUGCCCGAGUGUAGCAGCCUUUUCCGGUUGAUGAAACAUUGCAUGAGUCACAUUUUCUACAUACAAUGGCUUGGGCUGGGUUAUCCCCACUUUUACAUAUGCGGAAACUGAGGCUCAGAGGACCUAUGGGAUUUGCCCCAGGUCACAGCGCCAGUAAGCAGUGGAGCAGGGGCUCAAACAGACCCCAACUUCUAUUCCCUUUCCACAGUCAAUUCCCUCCUUUUCCUCUGACACUCUCAUCCACGCAGAUGCCCACAGCAGGCGCAGGUGUGCACGAGGAUGAAAAACAUCCACCACGAGACCGAGGCCAGCCUGCGACUGUGCGUGAGGAGACGCAUGCGGCACUGCACGAGAGUGGCCUGUGAAGGGGACAAUUGUAUAAGUGUGGGGAGUCGGGGAGACGUCAACAUGGAGCCACCUCUGCCUGGCAAGGCUGUUUUUUAUUCUCUGAAAGCUUUCUUUUCUCCUUAAAAAUUUUCUCAACAUGUCAAUACAUAGUUAUCGGGCAUCUCCCACAUGCCAGCAUUUUGCCAGGCACUGGGAAUUCAACAUAAAUAAGAGAAAGUUUCCACCUCAGAGUGGAAAAGAAUGAAGAAGAGAAACAAAAACCUAUUUCUUCUGCCAUUAAUUCAUUCGCUCAGCGUGUUUGGUAUACUGCAGGCAGAGAAGACGUGUUGACUAAAUAGAUACAAGGAGAGUAACUAUAAAGUGACGCUUUUGUUUCUGCAAAUGCCUGAAGCUGUUAGGAUAAAAGGCAUCAUGUGGAAUCUGAAACAUCACUGCCUCUUUCAGGAGCAUGUGGGUAUGUGUCACGAUCAUUCAUGAUGUCAGCAAAGCACGUUCGGCUGGACAAAAAACUAUGUGCAAAGAUACCAUGGUUCUGCAAACAAGUCCAUGUUUUGGGUUGAAAUUGCUACAAAGCACAGGUUAUUCAAAGGGUAGAGUUCGAGUUGGUGGGUACAAAACCUUCCUGGAUUCUGGUUUCUUAAAGCUUGAAUGGCCUGGUCUUCUCAGGGGAACUCCAUACAGGGCUGUUUUGUCCUGGCAAUAGUUAAAGGCUUUGAAAGCUGCUCCUUUUCUGCUCCCCUCCUGUAUCUUUCACAUGAAAUCAUUCCGUGGGAAAGCAGUUAAGUAGUGCCCACCCAUCCGUGUGGGCCUGUGUCCCUAACUCCUUGGCGUCUGUGUUGGCUAGCAGUUGAGAUCCCAAGAUCUGAAGCCAGACCUCCUCGUUCUGACUGGGUGACCUUGGGCAAUUCGCUGACCCUCCCUAAGUCUCAGAUGCGCUGUCUGUAAACUGGGGGUGAUAAUCAGAACAUCUACUUUUAUUGUGAGCCUGUUACAAGGGUAUGCGAGUUCAUACCUGUACAGCACUUAGCACAGGGCUUGCUUGUGGCAAACACUUGGUUCAUGACAGCUGUAAUCUCCUCACCCCCAGGGCCGCGAAGUCCCAGGUUGGAAGCCCCAGGUUCAGACCAACGUGCUCAUUGUGUGACUGAAGCUAAGUCUCUUGACCUUGGUCUCAGUUUUCUCACCUGUAAAAUGGUACCAGGUAAUCCUCAAAUAAGGCCAGGCCAGUCGUUGGCAGUUAUUUAUCAAAUAGUAAUUGAUUAUACGAAGUAAUGGUGGGCUAUUGGUAAAGCCUGGACACAGAGGGCAGAAUGGUAAAAAUAAAAACUCAUCAGUUUUGUUCUCUGAAAGCAGUUAGUUGGAAUGAAAAAGAGAAGACAGAUAUUGGUAUGGCCCACAGCGUGUAAUAUCCUUGCUCUGUCGGACACAGAACUCCUCAGGUUCCCUUGGUCACCAUCUUUUUCCAAAGCCCUGCUCUGGGGCUUGUCAUGAGGGACAAGAUGCUGCACUUUGCACUUCCUGGCACAAAGGAAGAGGUAGCGUGUUUAUCUGGCCUCUUUGGAUUUGGGAGACAAGGUGGGCUGCUCUUGGGAACAUCACUUCAAUCUACUUACGGGGUGACCCAGAAGACCGCCAGCUUCAAGUAAGUCCCAGAGCGAGAAAGGCCCCUGCAGCAGGUCCAAGAUAUGGACAAGCUGCUCUGCCUCCUGGGCCUGUGAUCCAGCGUGUCCAGUGGUGGAUAUGGAUGCUGUGUGGAGUCUCGGGCAAGCUCCAAUGGAGAAGUGUACCACAUACCUUGCGGUUCUGGAACAAGGUCAUACCCUCUCUGGCAAAGAAUCACAUCUGAAAAACAGCUACUGGAAUGCUAUAGAGACUGAGUGUCUGACCAAUGGGCACCAAGCGACCAUUCAACCGGAGCUGCCCACCAAAAGCUGAAUCCAUGUGUCCGAUACACGAGUCCUAAAGUUGGACGGCAAAGCAGUAAUCCACUGUGUGAUGGGAGUGACACAUUUGGAUCAGGCUUGAGCUGGCCCAGAAUGUGUAAGGAAAUUGCAUGAGCAGGCGGCCCAGACCCCAAAUCACCUGCCUCUGUUGCAGUACUUCUUUUUCAACCCACAUUUAUGGCCUGGUGGGCGUUCCCUAUAACCAACUGAUGGAUGUGCUAGAAUUAUGGUCCCACUCAGGUCAUCUCUGAAGGACAGUGAUAAAGGGAAAUCCUCCCUAGCGUACAUUUGGUCAUCCACUUUGUGUAUAGGGAGAGAUAGUCCAGAGGAAGGAUACACAUGGAUUACUAGUAAGUGGCAAAUGGUUUUGUCAGUUGGUCAGAGUCCUGGAAAGAGCAAAAUGAAAAGUUGAAGCAAAGGGGGUCUGGGAAAGAGAUAAGCGUAUGGCAAGGCCAGGACUGGGGUACAUUUCCAUGAUCCUAAGAGUGAAGGCUUCCUUAAACUUCAUGCCCUAUCGUGCACUGCCUCACCUGAGACCCAGCCCUCAUAGAUGGACCUAUGGAAACACACAGGAAGGGAGCAGAUCUCUGAGACUCACGUUAAUGUCCACCAAGGAGCAUCUGUCACAGAGGAGGCACUGAACAAUCAUCGGGCAGGAUAACUCAUCCUGUGACUGUCAGCCAGCCCUUCUCUUCAGUCAUCAGUCACCCUAGUGCUGGCACAGUGGGCCGACGAACAUAGUGGACGUGGUGGCAAGAGGGAGGCUUAGCAUGGGCUCAAGAUCACGGGUGCCCUCUCACCAACUUUAGGAGCUACUGCUGAGUGCCCAGGCUGCUCGCGGCAGAAGUUGACUCUGAGCUGUGUAUAUGGUGCUACUCCCCAGUGGGGGGAGAAAACAUCCAGCCACACGGUGGUAGGUUGAUUAUAUCAGACCCCCGGUAUUGAGGGGGCAGUGAUUUGUCCUUACUAGAAUCAAUGCAAACUCCAGCACCACCUGUGUGCUUACAGAAUGCCUGAUGUCUCAAUGUGGUAUCCCACAUCACAGUGCCUCAGACCAAAGAACCCAUUUUACAGCAAAGAGGCACACCACAGGCUCAUGACCACAGGAUUUACUAGUCCGACCCCAUCACCCAAAAUUAGUCAACUUGAUAGAAUGAUAGAAUGACCUGUCAAAGGCUCAGGAAAGCACCAUCUGGUAAACCAUGUCGAGUUGGAGUUCUCUCCUCCAAGAUGGAGUGUAUCCCGUAAACCAAUGCUCAUGAUACGGUACUGUGUCCCUGUCUUAGUCAGCUCAGGCUGUUAUAACAAGAAUACCAUAGACUGGGUGACUUAAACAACAUUUAUUCCUCACAGUUCUUGAGGCUGGGAAGUCCAAGAGCAAGGCAUUGGCAGAUUCCAUGUCUAGUGAUGACAGUCUUCCUCGUUUGCAGAUGGCCAUCUUCUCAUUAUAUCCUUACAUAAUGGAGAGGAGGGGAGCGAGCUCUCUUCCUCCCCUAAUAAGGACACUAAUCCCAUCAUGGGGGCUCUACCCUCAUGACUUAAUUAUCUCUCAAAGGCCCCAUCUUUUAAUAUCAUUCUAUUGGGAGUUAGGGUUUCAACAUAUGAAUUUGGGGGGGACAAAAACAUGCAGUCCCCUAUAACCAGAAUACACAGAUGGGGGUACCAGGGGUUGGAACUGGAAAUGGCUCCUCUCGCUAUUACAUCCAGUGACGUAUUUCUGAAUUUGUGAUUCCCUUCACCAUAAUCUUGGGAUCUUCCAGAUUAGAGGUCCUAGUUAACAGAGGGAGACGAUUUCUACCAAAUGACAUCGUAAGAAUUCUACUAAACUGGAAGCUGCAACUACGACCCAUCCACUUUGGGCUCCUCAUGUAGUGGACCAACAGGCAAAGGAAGAAAGUUCUCAUACUGGCUAGGAUAAUCGAUCCUGGUUACCAUGUGGAGACAGGAUGGCUGCUGCACAAUGUGGGCAGGGAGAAUGUCUGGUACCCAGGGACUCUCUGGGGCAUCUCUCAGUACUUUCAUGCCUGGUGAUGACUGUUAAUGGGUAGCUACAACAGCCAACAAGAGCAGGGCAACUAGGGGUCUACACCUUUUGGGAAUGAAGGUCUGGAUCACCCUACCAGGAAAACAACCCAGACCAGAUGAAAUGCUAACUGAGGAGGGGGCAUCUAGAAUGAGUAGUAGAAGAAGGAGACGAUGACUAUCAAUUAGAGCCACUGGACCAGUUACAACUAUGAGGAUUGUAGCUUGUUUUGCUAAUCCUCUUGCCUCAGUCUUUGAGGAAAACACUCUUGACCUCCACCUUGAAGGGAGCCAUGUAACUGAUUGGACCUGUAGCUCCAUUCUUGGAGAAUAAGUAAGGAUGUCUCUGUUUGUACAAAACUACUGUAAGCCCUAUAUUGUAGUAUAAAGGCUGAAAAUAAUGAGAGGGCACAAGGGGUGGACUGUGUUGGACACAAACUGGUUCUCCUCCUGAGAUUCUUUUCAUUGACUCUUUACUUCCAAAGGGCUGCCUGCCUUCCAAACCACUGCCACCUUUAUCAGAGCCCUUCCUUGUGGCCUGAGCUGAUGGAGUCCAAGCUGAAGGCCUAGAAAUACGUGGUCUUCACACCCGACAUGUUGAGCCUAUCUCUCUGAGUCACCACUCCAAUUCCGAUUAAUAUCAAAUACCAUACCAUGGGCCAUGGAAUCUGGCUUCCUAAGUGGACACCAAGGUACAGGGGAUGCAACCUCUGCCUAUGGCAUAACCUUGAGCAAUGGGAAGUGGGAAGCAAGAGAGAGCCGGCAAGAUAAAUUCCUCCUCCUUUCUGCCCUCUGAGAAUUCCUCCAAGGGGUGGUUUCACCUUGCACCCUGUCUGGAGAAAGUCCUCUUUGUCAAGUGAAAAUGCCUGUCCGGCAACUGGCUGCUUCUCUUUGCAGUUCGUUUUGAAGUGGUAACCAAUGCAGUAACAUUGUUUUGCAUCUUUUUUUGCUUCACUUCUCUUUUCCUCAUCCUCCCCACCCUGAGCUCAUACCUCCCAAAGAAGGUAUCAUACUUUGAUUCUUGCCUUGGGCCCUGCUAAGACACUUGCCAAUCUUGUCCUCAAGACUGGAUACUUGAGCUGGGAUGCUUCCCUACUCUAGUAGUCAUGAUUGGGACUCACCAAUAUAGCUGGCUCUCCUCCCCUUCUGGGCAUAUAAAAGAAUACACAUCUCUGACUCUUGAAAUGAGGCAUGACCGUGUGACCCGCUUUGGCCAAUGAUGUGUUAGCAGAAGGAGCGUGUUUCAUUCCCAGAGACAAGAAGAGCAUUUAGGAAGCAGUGUGCAGUUCGUGUUCCUCUUCCCCUGCCACAGCGACUGUGGAAAGGUGUGUAGAUAUAGCAGCACCACAAUAUUCAGGCAACCUCAAAGGCUGAGCCACCAUCUGGGCAACAGCUUCCCUGAAGAAAUGCCCAGAUCUACAGUGUAAUUCGCAGAGGUGAGAAACAAACUUCUGUUGUGUUAAGCUGCUGAGAUUUUAGGGUUCAUCGGUACCUCAGCAUAACCUUGCCUAUACUAACUGAUGUUACACUUCCAAACCAUAUGAAGGAGGGGUGCUCAAGGAAUCACUGUCAUGGGAAGAGGGCUUGAAGAAGAGGACACGAGCAUCUUGCUCCCUAGCUGAUAUCUGCUGAGCCUUCCAUGCUUUCCGUGCAGAGCAUGGUGAAGGAGAUCAUUCAUCAUCCAUUCACUCAACGAAUUACCAUGGAGCACCUACAACAUGCCAGGAACAGUUCCAGGGGCCGGAGAAUCAGCAACGGACAAGACAACUGAUACUACAGGUGCCCUGUAGAAUUUGACUGGCUUUCGUGAACCAAGAACUUCUUACCUGGAGGUUUCUGAAGGUUGGAGAAUUGCUAGAGCAGCCUGUGAGAACAAAAGAAGAGGAAUAUGGUGCAGUGGACCCAGAAAAAUGAGGAUGGGCAGCCCCGCCUCCCCACAGAUCUUGGAAUGCUUAGAAGGAGACCCAGCAGUUUCCAUGGCUUCAGGAGAGGUCAAAAGCAAGAGCCACAGGACUGCCCUGCUGGCCAGGAGAAGCGAUGUAUCAUUCAAAGAGGGAUGGGAUGGGGCUCUUGGCUGGGCUGAAGGGAAACCCAGUAGGCUGCCCCUGAGAGGAUUCUGGGUGAUGGACCCACACAGAUCAAAGCUGAGCAGUGCCUCUGGAAAGCAGAGGCCACCACCAGCCACAGGCCAGACCGAGGUCAGGCCUCUUACACUCCAACAGGUGACUAGUGACAUAAGACAUAAGACAUGAAUCUUAUGUGACAGACAGACUCUAAAGUAGUUCCCCAUGAUCCCUGCCACCUGAUGUUCACGCCCUUGUGUAAUCCCAUGAGUGCGGGUAGGACCUGCGACUUGCCUCUAACCAAUGGAAUAUGGCAAAGGUAUAAGUAAUUACGUGUAUUCGAUCACAUUAGAUUGUAGCGUUCAUCUUGCUAGAGGCUCUUUCUCCAUCUGACUUAAAAAAAAAACUAGGCAGCUACAUCAGGAAGCCCAAAUGGCAAGGAGCUGAGGACGGCCUCUAGGAGCUGAGGGCAGUCUCCAGCCAACAGCCAGGAAGAAGCCGGAGACCUCAGUCCUGCACCCACAAGGAAAUGAAUGCUGCCAACAACCUGAGUAGCUUGGGAGAGGAUUCUUCCCCCGUCACACCUCCACAUGAGAACGCAGCCUGGCAGUCACUUUGAUUGCAGCCUUGUGAGACCCUGAGCAGAGGACCCAGCUAAGCUGUCCUCAGACUCCUGACCCACAAAAACUGUGAAAUAUUAAAUGUGUGUUGUUUUAAACCGCUGAGCUUGCAGCAAUUUGUUACAUAGCAAUAGAUAACAAACAGAUGCCCCUCUACCUCCUCUCCUCCCAGUUCUGCCCCAGCCUCAGAGGGUUGGGGAGGAGGAGAGCAGACCAUGUCCCCUCCCCACUCCAACUCCCUCAGCCACUGGCCAGGGGAACAAGGUGGGAGAGGGGAGGAAGGAAAAGAAGUUCAAAU